CAGUCGCCACGGGAAUACGUAGGUGGCGAGCGUUGUCCGGAAUCAUUGGGCGUAAAGGGAGCGCAGGCGGGCAUGUAAGUCUUUCUUAAAAAUGCGGGGCUCAACCCCGUGAUGGGAAAGAAACUAUGUGUCUUGAGUACAGGAGAGGAAAGCGGAAUUCCCAGUGUAGCGGUGAAAUGCGUAGAUAUUGGGAGGAACACCAGUGGCGAAGGCGGCUUUCUGGACUGCAACUGACGCUGAGGCUCGAAAGCCAGGGGAGCGAACGGGAUUAGAUACCCCAGUAGUCCCUGUCUCUUAUACA
rnacentral:rRNA from 1 species